rnacentral:rRNA from 1 species
AUUGAACGCUGGCGGCAUGCCUUACACAUGCAAGUCGAACGGCAGCGCGGGGCAACCUGGCGGCGAGUGGCGAACGGGUGAGUAAUAUAUCGGAACAUACCCUAGAGUGGGGAUAACGUAGCGAAAGUUACGCUAAUACCGCAUACGCACUAAGGUGGAAAGUGGGGGAUCUUCGGACCUCAUGCUCAUGGAGUGGCCGAUAUCUGAUUAGCUAGUUGGUGAGGUAAAGGCUCACCAAGGCGACGAUCAGUAGCUGGUUUGAGAGAACGACCAGCCACACUGGAACUGAGGCACGGUCCAGACUCCUACGGGAGGCAGCAGUGGGGAAUUUUGGACAAUGGGGGCAACCCUGAUCCAGCAAUGCCGCGUGAGUGAAGAAGGCCUGGUGUAAGCUCUUCUACCCUACCGACGACUGAUGACGGUACCGU